CGGUUUUUCUUUGUGCAAAUAUGGCUUUGGCAAAUGUCCUACGCACUCAGUAAAGGACGGGCCUGUAGUAGUGGCUUGGUACCCUACCAUCGGAUCUUGCUACUAUACCACCAUUGCUUUUGGUUAUAAAUCAUGCGCCUGAAUAGCUGAAGUUUUCUUAUAGUCCCACGUAUCCACUACCAUAUACCCAUUGCUUUAACUUUGUAUUCUUAAGAUGCGCUCUCCAUAGGAGGAACCAUCUCUCUUAACAGAAAACCAUCUGCAUACACCUUUCCUUUGCAUUUUUUUGAGAGUACUUUUCCUUUGCAUUUAAGAUGGUGCACAGACGUACCAAAAGAAGACUAAAGAUAGAGCCACGCUAAAUCUAAAACCUGUGGGCAAUGCUAGUUUAACCCUGUUGGUUAUUGGGCUGUGUUGAUUGAGAAAG
rnacentral:lncRNA from 1 species